GACAGUAAACAAAAGGUCCGUUUUUUCAUUUUCUGAGACCGGAAGUGGUCAUCAGCAAGUGUGGAGCCAAACAGAGUACGGUGCAUAGACUGUAUAUACAUUUUUUUUCGUUAGUUUUCAUGGUCAGAAUGAGAGAUCAGGUGGCCGAUCUUAAAAUAAAUCAAUAUUGAAUUUUUUUAUAUAGAGCGUUAAAGUUUUGCGAAGCCAGGGGGCGGGACUACUUGAUUGACAGUCCGGUCUGGAAUGAUUGACAGGUCCUAUGGAGGAGGCAGCAGAGACUCUGCUCUCCUCGUUUGGAUUAAUUCUGAUAUAAUAACUGUUGGUUUAUUUAUCGGUGCAGCAGCAGAACAUUUUCCACAGACAGUUUUCCUGCCCGUUGGCUUGUUUUAACCAGUUUUCUGCCUUCGGCUGAUUCUACCAGCAGACACUGAAAGGACUCUGAUAGUUCGAGUGAAAGUAGCAGUUCCUCCUUAAGGUCAGAGAUUGCAGCAUCUGAGGGCCUCUUCAAAAGAAGAUGUAGUCGAUGAAGGCGUUCUGGAGCAGGACCAGAAAGACCACGACCAAGCAGCGUUGAGAUCUUAGGCAGCGUCUCCCUCAGGUCCCUCUCUAUUUCCCCACACAUCCACCAACCACUGGAACACAUCUCCAAAGUUCUGCCGGGCCAGCUCAGCUUCCCUUCAGAAGAAGUGCCGCCACCUGCCAGAUGAAGGAGCCUUUUGAGAGGCAGCUGGCAUCGUGAUUGGACUGUCCUUUGUUCUAUUCCAAUCCAGCUUCAGCUCCAGAGACAGCAGGCGGGACGAGUCAACGGAGGCCGGGUGGACGAAGGCAUGCAGCUGAGUACAAUCCAGAAAACAACAGAGGAGGAGUGCAGCAGCCCAGGACCAGAACAGAGUACCAUAGUAUGUCUCUGAGAAAACAUCAUAGUAUAGCCUUUGGUAUGAAAAAACGCCAUCAUAUACAUCGUAUAUUGUACAAAUAACAAGUCAAAGGAAAGAGACAUACAUUGUAGAAUUGUA